rnacentral:tRNA from 1 species
UCCUUGGAGGGCUAGUGGUUAGGCCCUGGCACUCUCACCACUGCAGCCCGGGUUCAAUUCUCGGCCAGGGAA